UGACGGCCAUAUCACCUUGAAACAACGGUUCUUGUACGAUCACUGAAGAUAAGCAACGUCAAACCUGGUCAAUACCUACCUGGGUGACCGCUUGGGAAUAACAGGUGCUGUAGG